rnacentral:rRNA from 1 species
UACGGGGGGGGGCAAGCGUUGUUCGGAAUUACUGGGCGUAAAGGGCUCGUAGGUGGCCAACUAAGUCGAACGUGAAAUCCCCGGGCUCAACCCGGGAACUGCGUCCGAUACUGGAAGGCUUGAAUCCGGGAGAGGGAUGCGGAAUUCCAGGUGUAGCGGUGAAAUGCGUAGAUAUCUGGAGGAACACCGGUGGCGAAGGCGGCAUCCUGGACCGGCAUUGACGCUGAGGCGCGAAAGCCAGGGGAGCAAACGGG